rnacentral:rRNA from 1 species
UACGUAGGGUGCGAGCGUUGUCCGGAAUUAUUGGGCGUAAAGAGCUCGUAGGCGGUGUGUCACGUCGGCCGUGAAAACCUGCAGCUUAACUGUGGGCGUGCGGUCGAUACGGGCAUCACUGGAGUUCGGCAGGGGAGACUGGAAUUCCUGGUGUAGCGGGGAAAUGCGCAGAUAUCAGGAGGAACACCGGUGGCGAAGGCGGGUCUCUGGGCCGAUACUGACGCUGAGGAGCGAAAGCGUGGGGAGCAAACAGG